rnacentral:rRNA from 1 species
GAUGAACGCUGGCGGCGUGCCUAAUACAUGCAAGUCGAGCGAACGGACGAGAAGCUUGCUUCUCUGAUGUUAGCGGCGGACGGGUGAGUAACACGUGGAUAACCUACCUAUAAGACUGGGAUAACUUCGGGAAACCGGAGCUAAUACCGGAUAAUAUUUUGAACCGCAUGGUUCAAAAGUAAAAGACGGUCUUGCUGUCACUUAUAGAUGGAUCCGCGCUGCAUUAGCUAGUUGGUAAGAUAACGGCUUACCAAGGCAACGAUGCAUAGCCGACCUGAGAGGGUGAUCGGCCACACUGGAACUGAGACACGGUCCAGGCUCCUACGGGAGGCAGCAGUAGGGAAUCUUCCGCAAUGGGCGAAAGCCUGACGGAGCAACGCCGCGUGAGUGAUGAAGGUCUUCGGAUCGUAAAACUCUGUUAUUAGGGAAGAACAUAUGUGUAAGUAACUGCGCACAUCUUGACGGUACCUAAUCAGAAAGCCACGGCUAACUACGUG